GGAUUAGAUACCCUGGUAGUCCACGCCGUAAACGAUGUCUACUAGCCGUUGGGAUACUUGAUAUCUUAGUGGCGCAGCUAACGCACUAAGUAGACCGCCUGGGGAGUACGGCCGCAAGGUUAAAACUCAAAUGAAUUGACGGGGGCCCGCACAAGCGGUGGAGCAUGUGGUUUAAUUCGACGCAACGCGAAGAACCUUACCUACUCUUGAAAUCCUGCGAAGUCGGAAGAGAUUCUGAUGUGCCUUCGGGAACGCAGUGACAGGUGCUGCAUGGCUGUCGUCAGCUCGUGCCG
rnacentral:rRNA from 1 species